GGAGUGGAGCGACAGACGCAGGAGUGAAAGCUCUGAGUGACUGCUGUCCAGGGCUGAGACUAAAAUCUGUCGUCCUGAACGGCUGUCAGCUCACUGAUGACCCACUCGUCAAACUCGUCAUGAGGCACAAAGAAAGUCUUCGCAGAGUGGAGGUGUUUGGCUGUCAGUUCCUCUCUCCGUCC